GGCAUGUUCACUUUCUCAUGUUUAUGUUGAUGGCAGUGUCAAAAUCUAUAAAUAGAUGCAAAUAAUGUAAAAUGUGUCUAGUCAUAAACGAAAAUCUUCCUUGCAAAAAAUACGUCUUGUUAUAAUGUAUAUUACAGGACUUAGGUGUCAACCUGCAAGACAAAACAUGUAGUGUUAUGCUUGCUCUGAGCUUUGUUAUUGAAAAUCUAACCAAACUGAAUUAUAGAAUAAAACUAUUGUUACAUAAUAAGUAAUAAGAAAUCAUAUGUUCAAAGUGUACAGGAAUAUUUAUUUGUCUUUCG
rnacentral:lncRNA from 1 species